UUUCAGGAGGUGGGGAAGAAGGAUGAGCUACAGGCCUAGAUGUAUUGUGCUUGUGGUGCCUGUGGACCCUCCGGGGGAAACGUCCAGAAGGCAUUGGGAUCCCUGGGUCUCCAGUAGAGAGCUGGAUCUGGGAGCCAUCUGUGGCACAGCAUUGGAAUGAAAGCAACAAACCACAGUGCCUCUGCGAUAUUUCAUAUCAUCAUAUAACCGUUGCAGACGUCUGGAUGGAUCACUCGCUCAUCACCACGGGACUCUAACAGUCGUUGGACCGUCCACUACAUCUUGUUAUUUGUCACAUUAUAAAGAUACUCAUAACUUACUAUA